rnacentral:rRNA from 1 species
GCCAAUCAAACCGGGAGAUAGCUGGUUCUCCCCGAAAGCUAUUUAGGUAGCGCCUCGUGAAUUCAUCUCCGGGGGUAGAGCACUGUUUCGGCUAGGGGGCCAUCCCGGCUUACCAACCCGAUGCAAACUGCGAAUACCGGAGAAUGUUAUCACGGGAGACACACGGCGGGUGCUAACGUCCGUCGUGAAGAGGGAAACAACCCAGACCGCCAGCUAAGGUCCCAAAGUCAUGGUUAAGUGGGAAACGAUGUGGGAAGGCCCAGACAGCCAGGAUGUUGGCUUAGAAGCAGCCAUCAUUUAAAGAAAGCGUAAUAGCUCACUGGUCGAGUCGGCCUGCGCGGAAGAUGUAACGGGGCUAAACCAUG